AUUGAACGCUGGCGGAAUGCUUUACACAUGCAAGUCGAACGGCAGCACGGACUUCGGUCUGGUGGCGAGUGGCGAACGGGUGAGUAAUAUAUCGGAACGUGCCCAGUCGUGGGGGAUAACGUAGUGAAAAUUACGCUAAUACCGCAUACGAUCUAUGGAUGAAAGCGGGGGACCUUUGGGCCUCGCGCGAUUGGAGCGGCCGAUACCAGAUUAGGUAGUUGGUGGGGUAAAGGCUCACCAAGCCAACGAUCUGUAGCUGGUCUGAGAGGACGACCAGCCACACUGGGACUGAGACACGGCCCAGACUCCUACGGGAGGCAGCAGUGGGGAAUUUUGGACAAUGGACGCAAGUCUGAUCCAGCCAUUCCGCGUGCAGGACGAAGGCCUUCGGGUUGUAAACUGCUUUUGUACAGAACGAAAAGGUUUCUACUAAUACUAGGAGCUCAUGACGGUACUGUAAGAAUAAGCACCGGCUAACUACGUGCCAGCCGCCGCAGUAA
rnacentral:rRNA from 1 species